UGGGGAAUAUUGCACAAUGGAGGGAACUCUGAUGCAGCGACGCCGCGUGAACGAAGAAGGCUUUCGAGUUGUAAAGCUCUUUCACCGGUGAAGAUAAUGACGGUAACCGGAGAAGAAGCCCCGGCUAACUUCGUGCCAGCAGCCGCGGUAAUACGAAGGGGGCUAGCGUUGUUCGGAUUUACUGGGCGUAAAGCGCACGUAGGCGGACUAUUAAGUCAGGGGUGAAAUCCCGGGGCUCAACCCCGGAACUGCCUUUGAUACUGGUAGUCUUGAGUUCGAGAGAGGUGAGUGGAAUUCCGAGUGUAGAGGUGAAAUUCGUGGAUAUUCGGAGGAACACCAGUGGCGAAGGCGGCUCACUGGCUCGAUACUGACGCUGAGGUGCGAAAGCGUGGGGAGCAAACAGG
rnacentral:rRNA from 1 species